UGGGGAAUUUUGGACAAUGGGCGAAAGCCUGAUCCAGCAAUGCCGCGUGUGUGAAGAAGGCCUUCGGGUUGUAAAGCACUUUUGUCCGGAAAGAAAUCCUUGGCUCUAAUACAGUCGGGGGAUGACGGUACCGGAAGAAUAAGCACCGGCUAACUACGUGCCAGCAGCCGCGGUAAUACGUAGGGUGCAAGCGUUAAUCGGAAUUACUGGGCGUAAAGCGUGCGCAGGCGGUUUGCUAAGACCGAUGUGAAAUCCCCGGGCUCAACCUGGGAACUGCAUUGGUGACUGGCAGGCUAGAGUAUGGCAGAGGGGGGUAGAAUUCCACGUGUAGCAGUGAAAUGCGUAGAGAUGUGGAGGAAUACCGAUGGCGAAGGCAGCCCCCUGGGCCAAUACUGACGCUCAUGCACGAAAGCGUGGGGAGCAAACAGGAUUAGAUACCCUGGUAGUCCACGCCCUAAACGAUGUCAGCUAGUUGUUGGGGAUUCAUUUCCUUAGUAACGUAGCUAACGCGUGAAGUUGACCGCCUGGGGAGUACGGUCGCAAGAUUAAAACUCAAAGGAAUUGACGGGGUCAUAGCUGUUUCC
rnacentral:rRNA from 1 species